GCUAGGGGCUUGUGCCCCGCUGUUCCGGUGCUCGGUUCUGGCGUCCAAGGGAGCGGGAAAGCCGCCCCUUCCCCAUUCUCCCCGAGUCACUCAAGCCGUCCCCGACGCACCCCCGGUCGGUGCGGUGAGUGGGGGGGGGGGGGGGGUGGCCCCGCGCCUGCCGCAUCCCCUCACAGCGCAGGGCUCCUUCGCUGUUGCAGGCGCGCUUUGACGCGGGUCACCUCCCUAAAACUCCCCAGCCCUUGGCCUUAAGGAACAAAACGGCCCGCUGUGAUAAUCAUCUCUGAUCUCGAGAUAACUUCCUACGUGCUCUAAGGGGCCGUUUCCUGCCUCUUCAUAGCCUUGUUCCCAGAUAACGGGGUCAAAGCCCUGUCUGGCUCAGGCGGGAGGGAAGAUGGUGUCGCAGCCGCUGAAGAGGAAGGAAACCCCGGAAAGGACUCAGCAGGGCUCGGGGGCAGCGCUUGGCACAUGGUGCGGAUGAGCUGUUUGAAUUUGAGAGGGAGGUUGGCGCCGUGAGCCCAGACAGGCACCGGGCUCUGAGUCACGUCCCGGGGGCCAGCAGUAGCAUUCGGCCUGUCCAGCUGCAGUGGGCAGGGGCGCGACAAAAUAACUGCACUGGUUCCCCGGACGUGCUAGAAACCUCUGCAAAUGGUGUGAUUUUAGCUCAGUCUUGUGACUUUGUUUAAUUUGUGCUUUUGAUUUUGGUUUUUAUUUUGCUUCAGGGCUGGCAAUGUGAAAUGAAGCAGCACUUGAAAGGAAAAAAAAAAAAAGCAAGCCGGUUCAAA